rnacentral:rRNA from 1 species
AACGAACGCUGGCGGCAGGCUUAACACAUGCAAGUCGAACGAGAAGCAUGUUUUCGGACAUGUGGAAAGUGGCGCACGGGUGAGUAACGCGUGGGGACCUACCAUUCUGUAGAGGAUAACUGUUGGAAACGACAGCUAAUACUGUAUACGCCCUUCGGGGGAAAGAUUUAUCGCAGAUUGAUGGACCCGCGUCUGAUUAGCUAGUUGGUGAGGUAAGAGCUCACCAAGGCGACGAUCAGUAGCUGGUUUGAGAGGAUGAUCAGCCACACUGGGACUGAGACACGGCCCAG